UGACCGCUGGCGGCAGGCCUAACACAUGCACGUCGAACGGUAACAGGAAGAAGCUUGCUUCUUUGCUGACGAGUGGCGGACGGGUGAGUAAUGUCUGGGAAACUGCCUGAUGGAGGGGGAUAACUACUGGAAACGGUAGCUAAUACCGCAUAACGUCGCAAGACCAAAGAGGGGGACCUUCGGGCCUCUUGCCAUCGGAUGUGCCCAGAUGGGAUUAGCUAGUAGGUGGGGUAACGGCUCACCUAGGCGACGAUCCCUAGCUGGUCUGAGAGGAUGACCAGCCACACUGGAACUGAGACACGGUCCAGACUCCUACGGGAGGCAGCAGUGGGGAAUAUUGCACAAUGGGCGCAAGCCUGAUGCAGCCAUGCCGCCUGUAUGAAGAAGGCCUUCGGGUUGUAAAGUACUUUCAGCGGGGAGGAAGGGAGUAAAGUUAAUACCUUUACUCAUUGACGUUACCCGCAGAAGAAGCACCGGCUAACUCCGUG
rnacentral:rRNA from 1 species